GGCUGUGGCUCAGUGGCGGAGGAUCUGCCUUGCAAGCAGAAGGUUGCAGGAUCAAUCCCUGAUGGCGUCU